rnacentral:rRNA from 1 species
UACAGGGGGUGCAAACGUUGCUCGGAAUUAUUGGGCGUAAAGCGCGCGUAGGCGGCUACCUAAGUCGGAUGUGAAAGCCCCUGGCUUAACUGGGGAAGUGCACCCGAAACUGAGUAGCUAGAGUGCGAAAGAGGGUCGCGGAAUUCCCGGUGUAGAGGUGAAAUUCGUAGAUAUCGGGAGGAACACCGGUGGCGAAGGCGGCGACCUGGGUCGAUACUGACGCUGAGGCGCGAAAGCGUGGGGAGCGAACAGG